rnacentral:rRNA from 1 species
UGCGUAGGCGGAAGAUUAAGUCAGUGGUGAAAUCCUGCAGCUUAACUGUAGAACUGUCAUUGAUACUGGUUUUCUUGAAUAUAGUUGAGGUAGGCGGAAUGUGUAAUGUAGCGGUGAAAUGCUUAGAUAUUACACAGAACACCGAUUGCGAAGGCAGCUUACUAAGCUAUGAUUGACGCUGAGGUACGAAAGCGUGGGGAGCGAACAGGAUUAGAUACCCUGGUAGUC